rnacentral:rRNA from 1 species
UACGAAGGGGGCUAGCGUUGCUCGGAAUCACUGGGCGUAAAGCGCACGUAGGCGGCUUUCUAAGUCAGGGGUGAAAUCCUGGAGCUCAACUCCAGAACUGCCUUUGAUACUGGAGAGCUUGAGUCCGGAAGAGGUGAGUGGAACUCCGAGUGUAGAGGUGAAGUUCGUAGAUAUUCGGAAGAACACCAGUGGCGAAGGCGGCUCACUGGUCCGGUACUGACGCUGAUGUGCGAAAGCGUGGGGAGCAAACAGG